GACGAACGCUGGCGGCGUGCUUAACACAUGCAAGUCGAACGAGUGGCGAACGGGUGAGUAACACGUGGGUGACCUGCCCUGCACUUCGGGAUAAGCCUGGGAAACUGGGUCUCAUACCGGAUAGUGUGGGAUGGCCCCGCGGCUGACCAGCUUGUUGGUGGGGUGAUGGCUACCAAGUCGAGACGGGUAGCCGGCCUGAGCGGGUGGACGGCCACAUUGCGACUGAGACACGGCCCAGACUCAUAAGGGAGGCAGCAGUGGGGAAUAUUUCGCAAUGGGCUGAAGCCGGAUGCAGCCAUGCCGCGUGAGUGAAGAAGGUCUUCGGAUUGUAAAGCUCUUUAAGUUGAGAGGCGGUACCUACAGAGUAAGCACCGGCUAACUUCGUGCCAGCCGCCGCGGUAAUAC
rnacentral:rRNA from 1 species